rnacentral:rRNA from 1 species
AACGAACGCUGGCGGCGCGCUUAACACAUGCAAGUCGAACGAGAAGCUGUAGCAAUACAGUUGUACAGUGGCGAACGGGUGAGGAAUACAUGGGUAACCUACCCUCGAGUGGGGAAUAACCAGCCGAAAGGCUGGCUAAUACCGCGUACGCUUCCCAGUCUGCGGGUUGGGAAGGAAAGCUCUACCGUGGGUAGAGCGCUCAAGGACGGGCUCAUGUCCUAUCAGCUUGUUGGAGGGUAACGGCCUACCAAGGCAACGACGGGUAGCUGGUCUGAGAGGACGAUCAGCCACACUGGCACUGCGACACGGGCCAGACUCCUACGGGAGGCAGCAGUGAGGAAUAUUGCGCAAUGGGCGACAGCCUGACGCAGCGACGCCGCGUGGGGGA